rnacentral:misc_RNA from 1 species
CACUUGCGCACCACACACACACACACACACACACACACACUUACAAACACACAUAGACAACCGCUCGCGGUGUCUCUGUGUGUUUUUCUUUGCGAAAACGGAACGGAGAAAGAUGUGACGACGCGAAGAGAGCAACGCCAUCACGACACAGAACAUCGUCAGCGGCAACAAUAUAAAUAGCCAUAAAAGAAAGGGACACAUCGGCGUUUUCGCCAUGAGACAGGCAUUCAUCCAUCGAUGGCAGGGCCGAAGAGCGAAGUGACACACGCCCAGCGUGCAAGAUAGCUGAGCGACGCGGGCUACUUCACUCGUGACAUCCCUCGAAUACAGAAGGACCCACCCUUUCCUUCCUCUCUCGUACACAGCCCGAAGCGCCCAUACCGUGUAUUAGUCGCACCCUGCUGCUUCAUCGUUUUUCUCAUUUCCAUCGUGACCAUCAGCUACAGCCGGAGAAGGUGGCACUGUGAUUCGGCUUUUAGAGCAUUCCUUUUUGUCGUUGCUUCUCUGAUGCCGGCAUGCACAUCUCAGGGCGUGGUGGUGUCACAGGGCCCAGUACAUCCCCUCCCACUCUCUCUGUGUGUGCGUGGAGAAGUCGGGCAGCCCCCCUCCCCUCCUGUGCUUGCGAAAUGCCGAGCGGCUUCUGGCGGUGACAGGGUCUGGUGACUGCGACGUGGGGAGGUCAGAGCGAUGCAUUGCUACUGAUGUCGGCAGUGAGGUCGUGGGCGGCGUUGCGUCGGAGCGACCCGCGCCGCUGAACACGUCGGCGCCAUCGACAUGAUGGGCGAAGUGCCAGCGUGACUGGAAGGCGUCGCAGCCGGCCCUCACACUGCCCGCUGGUGUGUGUGGCGGGGGGCCUGGGGCACCGCACGAGGGGGUGCGCGAGGUGGUGGCGUGCGUGAUGGGUGCGGCUGUGAGGCGACCUGCGAGGCCGGGGCGGUGCUGAGGUGACUGCGUGUGUGCGCAUUGCUGUGAGGCAUGCGUCUCUGGCUGCAUUGCACCGCGCGGGGUGCGCCUGUGGCAGGGCCGGGGAGGGCUGGAGUGGGGCUUGACUCCUGUUGUAUGGCCGGGAGGAUGGGCUCACGCUGAAGCAAGAGAAAAAAGCCCUUUCCUUGCAUGCUUUAGCGAGAUGUAUGUCUAUGUGCGUGCUACGCUGCUUCUUCACUUUCCGCUGAUGCCAUUAGCGUUAGCUGCUUAUGUGUGUGUGUGCGCGAGUGAGUGCGCUGACCGGUGC